AAAAAUACAAAGUUUUCAAAAAAUUAGAUUUCGUUAAAUCACUUAAAAAAAUAUUUUGUUUUUAUAUUUUCUUGAUAUAAAUAUUUUUUUUUCCGCCUUUUUUAGGUUAUAUGCACACAAAUAAUUAAAACAAAAUUGAUAUUAUGUGCUUAUGUGCCAUGAAAUGAAGUGAGUGCUGAGAAAGCUAAGAAUAAAGGAAGUUUGUCGGCGCCCGACGUGCUAGGAAUAAGAAUGAAGCUUCAACGCUCUAAUAAACGAUGGAAAAAAAAAAUUUCUUCCACUACCCAUUCAUCGUUGGUCCUCUGAUAGCAUCUUCCUCCAUUAUCAUCCUUCCCUUCUGUGCACCAUUUAUGAGGAUUCACGGGGCCACAAAAGGUACGACAGAACUGAACAUUCAAACUUGCGUAUAUUAUAGGAUUGUAACAGAUGGAGGAUUUCGCGAGAAGGGCAGGCAGCACCGCCACGAUGUGGGAGGUUUGUACCU